GAUGAACGCUGGCGGCGUGCCUAAUACAUGCAAGUCGAGCGAACGGACGAGAAGCUUGCUUCUCUGAUGUUAGCGGCGGACGGGUGAGUAACACGUGGAUAACCUACCUAUAAGACUGGGAUAACUUCGGGAAACCGGAGCUAAUACCGGAUAAUAUUUUGAACCGCAUGGUUCAAAAGUGAAAGACGUUCUUGCUGUCACUUAUAGAUGUAUCCGCGCUGCAUUAGCUAGUUGGUAAGGUAACGGCUUACCAAGGCAACGAUGCAUAGCCGACCUGAGAGGAUGAUCGGCCACACUGGAACUGAGACACGGUCCAGACUCCUACGGGAGGCAGCAGUAGGGAAUCUUCCGCAAUGGGCGAAAGCCUGACGGAGCAACGCCGCGUGAGUGAUGAAGGUCUUCGGAUCGUAAAACUCUGUUAUUAGGGAAGAACAUAUGUGUAAGUAACUGUGCACAUCUUGACGGUACCUAAUCAGAAAGCCACGGCUAACUACGUG
rnacentral:rRNA from 1 species